UUUUAAUUUUUUUUUUUAUUAAAUGUAUCUAAAAUAAUUUGUUUGCAACCACUUACCCUAAAAAAUGUAGUUCAGUGCAUAUUGCAACAAAAAAAGGCCUUUACUAAACUUAAUUUCCUUUGAAGUUAAUUUCUCAUUUGAUUUUGUGGUGAAAUAUGAUCUGGAUGUGAUUUGGAUGAGUUUUCUGAGAUGCGUCGUUGAACUAACCAUAUGGUUUUCAUCUCGUUUGCUUCAGCUUUGCUUGCGUUUGUGUUUCUGAGCUCAAAGACGGAUGGAUUCAUGAUUCAUAUUUGAUAUCAGGAAGGAACUGAAUGUGCCUGUGUUUUCUGAGCGGAAGCGAUCGCUGCGUCUGCGUCACAUUUCUCUCUCUGUCUCUGCCGUCUCUCACUUUCUGUUCUACCUGCAGAAAAGAAGCUAUAUAAAAUAUAUAUGGAAAACUCUAUAUAGAUAUAUCAGAUAUGAAACUCUUAAAGUGACCAGCUGUAACUCUGGAUGCAAUCUUUGGUCCAGGUUUUCAGGAAGCCGAUACCUCAGAACUCACUGAAGCAGUGUUUAUAGCUGGACCGUCGUGACACACGAACGAACGAAUCAAAGUGAAUCACUAAGCUCUUGUACUGCUGUGCCGUGUGUGACGAGCCCUCCACAAACUCCACAACCUCCUCAUCUCUGUUUCAUGAAGCCUACAGACGAGGAAGAACAGGAAUCAUAAUCUAACAAAUUCACGCACAAGAUUUCAAUUGGUUCAAUUGAGUCAGAAAGUGCAAAACUGGGUUUUGUUGUUAGUUUGCAUAAGAUUUCUAUUAAAAUAUUACAGAUUAUAACGACAUGAUCUGUGAAGCCCCUAUACAUCUCCAAUUGAGUCAUUUAGUAAUGAUAAUGAUGUGUAAACAUAAUAACCUGCUCAAUUAUGCUUCUUUCUUUUUCUUUCUUUUUCUAUAUUAUGAUUUUGAAAACAAGCAUUUUUUUUUUAUUUUUAACCAUAUGUCAAAGCCAGCUGUUAAUAAUAAAAAAAAAAAACAUUUUUUUUUUUAAUAUUUAUUUUCGAUUUUUUUUUAAACAAAGGAAAUCUCAACCCCAAGC
ensembl:lncRNA